GAUGCUGGCUCAGAAUGAACGCUAGCUACAGGCUUAACACAUGCAAGUCGAGGGGCAGCAUGACCUAGCAAUAGGUUGAUGGCGACCGGCGCACGGGUGAGUAACACGUAUCCAACCUACCGGUUAUUCCGGGAUAGCCUUUCGAAAGAAAGAUUAAUACCGGAUAGUAUAACGAGAAGGCAUCUUCUUGUUAUUAAAGAAUUUCGAUAACCGAUGGGGAUGCGUUCCAUUAGUUUGUUGGCGGGGUAACGGCCC
rnacentral:rRNA from 1 species